GGGAUUGCCCCAGUAGCGGCGAGUGAAGCGGCAAGAGCUCAGAUUUGAAAUCGUGUUUCGGCACGAGUUGUAGAGUGUAGGCGGGAGUCUCUGUGGAGCGCGGUGUCCAAGUCCCUUGGAACAGGGUGCCUGAGAGGGUGAGAGCCCCGUAGGGUGCUGCGCGAAGCUUUUGAGGCCCUGCUGACGAGUCGAGUUGUUUGGGAAUGCAGCUCCAAGCGGGUGGUAAAUUCCAUCUAAGGCUAAAUAUUGGCGAGAGACCGAUAGCGAACAAGUACUGUGAAGGAAAGAUGAAAAGCACUUUGAAAAGAGAGUGAAACAGCACGUGAAAUUGUUGAAAGGGAAGGGUAUUGGGCUCGACAUGGGGGGUGCGCACCGCUGUCUCUUGUAGGCGGCGCUCUGGGCGCCCUCUGGGCCAGCAUCGGUUCCUGCUGCGGGAGAAGGGGCUCCGGAAAGUGGCUCUUCGGAGUGUUAUAGCCGGGGCCAGAUGCCGCGUGUGGGGACCGAGGACUGCGGCUUCUGUCUCGGAUGCUGGCAUAACGGCGCAAUACCGCCCGUCUUGAAACACGGACCA
rnacentral:rRNA from 1 species